rnacentral:rRNA from 1 species
CCCUUAGAUGUUCUGGGCGGCCCGCGCACUACAAUGGCGUGUGCAGCGAGUGCCGAAGUAGAGUUUUCCGAGGUAUUCUUGCAAUGCUCGUUUUGAUGGGGAUAGACCCUUGCAACUGUUGGUUUUGAACGAGGAAUUCCUUGUAAGCAUGGUUUAUCAUCCGACGCUGAAUGCGUCCCUGCCCUUUGUACACACCGCCCGUCGCUCCUACCGAUUGAGCGAUCCGGUGAAUGUUUUGGACUGGCGUCAGAAGCGGUUCGCUCCUGACACUACGAAAUUUUGUAAACCUUAUCGCUUAGAGGAAGGAAAAGUCGUAACA